UACGUAGGUGGCAAGCGUUAUCCGGAUUUACUGGGUGUAAAGGGCGUGUAGGCGGGCGUGCAAGUCAGAUGUGAAAUCCCUUGGCUCAACUGAGGAACUGCAUUUGAAACUGUACGUCUUGAGUGAUGGAGAGGCAGGCGGAAUUCCGUGUGUAGCGGUGAAAUGCGUAGAUAUACGGAGGAACACCAGUGGCGAAGGCGGCCUGCUGGACAUUAACUGACGCUAAGGCGCGAAAGCGUGGGGAGCAAAC
rnacentral:rRNA from 1 species